ACUCGGGACUUUGCGCUUGCGCGGCAGGCGCCGGAACCACUGAGCUAAAUCCCCGGCCCGGAUGUUUGUAUAAUAGCCCUGUAAAUUUGAUAGGGCCUCCCUACUCCAUUGCCACGAUGGACAUCUCAAAUAGUUUGGUUUGUUUGCUUGUUUUUUAAGGAAGAGGUUCAUGCCAGUUGCAGACGCACUACAGCUAUGGAAUCAAAGUACUUAACCCCCUAGGUCAAUCCUAAAUCUCUACAAGUGUGAAGUGAACGUGCUGUGGGGAAGAGUAACGGAGCUAAGGGAUCGAACUCGGGUCCUUACGCAGCAGGCAGCGAAACCACUGAGCUAAAUCCCCAGCCCAAAGGGAAGUUUAUAAGAACAGAAUUAGAAGACUAUGGAAUCAAGGUGUAAAAAACAUCAAAAAUCAAUCUGCUUUUCUAUUACUACUUGGAACCGAAGGAUACUGUUUUUUAGUUUGUUUUUGUUUUUUUGGUACUGGGGAUCAAACUCGGGUCCUUGUGCUUGGUACUGGGGAUGGAACUCGGUCCUUGCACUUGCAAGGCAGGUGGCGGAACCACUGAGCUAAAUCCCCAGCCCUGAUACUGUUUCUUAUUGACAUCAAUAAUCCCUCCCAAAACCUUUCUUCAUUUUGAAUGAGUUGCCUGAUUAUAUUAAUGUGGGUUUAGGGGAUUAAAUUAGAUUUUGCCAGUUAAAGCCUUCUGUAAAUCUACAAAGAGCUAUUGAAAAUUCCAACUGUUAUUAUAUUGUGGAAGAAAAUGUUUGACCUCAAAAAUUCAAUCCAAAAGAACUACAA